GAUGAACGCUAGCUACAGGCUUAACACAUGCAAGUCGUGGGGCAUCAUGAUGUAGUAAUACAUUGAUGGCGACCGGCGCACGGGUGAGUAACGCGUAUCCAACCUACCCUCCACUCAAGUAUAGGCUUCCGAAAGGGAGAUUAAUCCUUGAUAUCGUCAUUCUCUCUCCUGUUAGAAUGAUAAAAGGACAUCGUUUCGGUAGAGGAUGGGGAUGCGUUCCAUUAGGUAGUAGGUGGUUUAACAGGCCACCUAGCCGAUGAUGGAUAGGGGUUCUGAGAGGAAUAUCCCCCACACUGGUACUGAGAUACGGACCAGACUCCUACGGGAGGCAGCAGUGAGGAAUAUUGGUCAAUGGGCGCAAGCCUGAACCAGCCAUGUAGCGUGAAGGAUGACGGUUUUUUUGAUUGUAAACUUCUUUUCUGUGCGAUUAAAGUGUGGCAUUUAUGCCAUAUUGCAGUAUCUCAGGA
rnacentral:rRNA from 1 species